AUUAGUGGCGGACGGGUGAGUAACGCGUGGAUAACCUGCCGUAUACAGGGGGAUAACACUUAGAAAUAGGUGCUAAUACCGCAUAAGCGCACGGUUCCGCACGGAACAGUGUGAAAAACUCCGGUGGUAUACGAUGGAUCCGCGUCUGAUUAGCCAGUUGGCGGGGUAACGGCCCACCAAAGCGACGAUCAGUAGCCGGCCUGAGAGGGUGAACGGCCACAUUGGGACUGAGACACGGCCCAAACUCCUACGGAAGGCAGCAG
rnacentral:rRNA from 1 species